rnacentral:rRNA from 1 species
UAUGCCUGUCUCAAAGAUUAAGCCAUGCAUGUCUAAGUACAAACUAAAUAAAAAGUGAAACCGCAAAAGGCUCAUUAUAUCAGUUAUGGUUUAUUAGAUCAUUAUCAGUUACUUGGAUAACUGUGGUAAUUCUAGAGCUAAUACAUGCAAUAUAAACAUGAACCUUUGGGACAUGUGCUCUUAUUAGUUUAAAACCAAGCGAUUUUUUUAAAAUCGUUAUAUAUGGUUGAAUUCUAGAUAAUUUGCCAAUCGUAUGGUCCUAGUACCGAUGAUAGAUCUUUUAAAUGUCUGCCCUAUCAACUAUUGAUGGUAGUAUUUAGGACUACCAUGGUUGCUACGGGUAACGGGGAAUCAGGGUUCGAUUCCGGAGAGGGAGCCUGAGAAACAGCUACCACAUCUAAGGAAGGCAGCAGGCGCGUAAAUUACCCACUCCCAGUUCGGGGAGGUAGUGACGAAAAAUAACAAUACAGGACUCAUAUCCGAGGCCCUGUAAUUGGAAUGAGUACACUUUAAAUCAUUUAACAAGGACCUAUUGGAGGGCAAGUCUGGUGCCAGCAGCUGCGGUAAUACCAGCUCCAAUAGCGUAUAUUAAAGUUGUUGCGGUUAAAACGUUCGUAGUUGAAUUUGUGCUUCAUGCGGGUAGUACAGCUAUAAUCGUAGUUUGUACAUUACCUUAUGCAUGUAAGCGUAUUAUCGGUGGAGUUCUAAUAUAUAAUAGUAAGUAAUUAUUAUUAUAUAUACCUCCUAGUUAAAACCUGCUUCAGUGCUCUUUAUCGAGUGUUGUUGUAGGCCGAUCAAUACUUAC